CGAGCAAACAGACCUUCUGCCAUCUGGGGAAGCCAGCCCAAGAGGCGGGGAGAGCUGGGGCAAAGGCCCUGGGGCGAGGGUUCCCCGUGCGUUCAGGGAGCAGAAAGGAGUCCCGAGGGGGCAGAGACGCAAGGGCGCCUGCAGGGCUCUACCCCAGGAGACAGCAGCGAUACCCCAGAAGGCUCGUGCAGCAACGCCCGCCUCCGAGUGUGGGAGUAUACGCAACGAGAAAGGGAGACCCUUCCUGGCCACUCUUCCACGCGCUUCCAAACUCCCCAGACCAAGAAUCGCCACUCCAGGGGUCACCCAAUGCCCCGACGUCCACGGCGGUGCUGGGGGGCUGGGAGUCCCCACUUCAGCUCAGCCCAGAGCCCAGAAAGCAGGCGGCUUCCAAGGCUGGGUGACCUCUGGCUGAGACGCGCGGAAACUGCG